AAUAAAGUGCCUGAUAAAAAGGAUUAUUUUGAUAGAAUAAAAUAUAUAAUUAUAUUAAUUAUCUUUAUUA
rnacentral:tRNA from 1 species